AUUGAACGCUGGCGGCAUGCUUUACACAUGCAAGUCGAACGGCAGCGCGGGCUUCGGCCUGGCGGCGAGUGGCGAACGGGUGAGUAAUGCAUCGGAACGUGCCCAGUAGUGGGGGAUAGCCCGGCGAAAGCCGGAUUAAUACCGCAUACGACCUGAGGGUGAAAGCGGGGGACCGAAAGGCCUUGCGCUAUUGCAGCGGCCGAUGUCGGAUUAGCUAGUUGGUGGGGUAAAGGCUUACCAAGGCGACGAUCCGUAGCUGGUCUGAGAGGACGACCAGCCACACUGGGACUGAGACACGGCCCAGACUCCUACGGGAGGCAGCAGUGGGGAAUUUUGGACAAUGGGGGCAACCCUGAUCCAGCCAUGCCGCGUGCGGGAAGAAGGCCUUCGGGUUGUAAACCGCUUUUGUUCGGGAAGAAAUCCUCUGGGCUAAUACCCCGGGGGUAUGACGGUACCGGAAGAAUAAGCACCGGCUAACUUCGUG
rnacentral:rRNA from 1 species